GCCCCCGUAGCUCAGUGGUAGAGCAAUCGCACAAGCGACAUAAUAGGUCACAGGUCCGAUUUCUGUCGGGGCCA